UACGUAGGGUCCGAGCGUUGUCCGGAGUUACUGGGCGUAAAGCGCGCGCAGGCGGCGGUAUAAGCAUGGCGUGAAAGCCCCAGGCUCAACCUGGGAGGGUCGUCGUGGACUGUACCGCUUGAGGGCGAUAGGGGCUGGUGGAAUGCCUGGUGUAGUGGUGAAAUGCGUAGAGAUCAGGCGGAACACCAGUGGCGAAGGCGGGUCUCUGGACAGUUCCUGACGCUGAGGCACGAAGGCCAGGGGAGCAAACGGG
rnacentral:rRNA from 1 species